UUCAGACAAUGGCUAUGAAUUUAUGUUGUCUGAGUUCCACAUUUAGUCAUAACUCAAUUUUUUGACUCCCUCCAUUCCUUUGCCCGCCUAUUUUUUGGCCAAAACUUAAAUUUCCCCCUUUUCACAAAACUCCUCGUUUAAAGAAAUAAAGGGUUCAGAUUCCACCUCUUUCUUCUCUCAGAGGCGCAUUCCGCACUUCUCUCUUCUAUCUUUACUUCUUUCUUUCCAAGCUCCACUCCCGCAAUUCCAAAACCCAAUUUUCUCCUCAGUCCCAGACCCUCUACCAGAUGAUGUCCGACAAGCAACAUUGGGAUUCCAAAUUCUCCAAUCGGAAUCUCCACUAGAAAGUCCACAAGCUCCUCGAAUCGGCGCCGUUUCGGAAUCCCAGUUAGGGAGGGCUAGUUUCUGGUGAUGUAAAGCUCACGGUGGUGGCCAAGGACGGGUUUUGUUAACUGCUCCGUUGCAGGGCAACUUCCAUCUCCAGAAGAGUCGCUGCUCUGCUUGUGCAUACCCAGCUGUCCGCACCAGGAAAUUCAAUUGGAGUGUGAAGGCCAUCAGGAGGAAGACCACCGGGACUGGAAGGAUGUGGUAUCUGUGGAAUGUCCCACGCAGGUUUAAGAGCGGUUUCAGGGAAGGUACAAGCAAGAGCAGUGAUUGUAAGCACAGUAGUAUCAAAUUGGCCUCGAAGCUUUAUUUUCAUGUGUGCAGAAGAUCAUCUUUUGAGUCUCAUAAGCCUUGAGUUGGAAAAUCUGACUAUGAAUUCAUCAUGGUGAAAAAAAAGAAAUGGAUGGUCUAGUCUUUGAAGUCUGAGGCUGAUGAUCAGUUCUUCCAAGGCCGUAUUUGUUAGUUGCGAAUCUUCAUAACAAGCUUGGAGAAGCAAAUCAAGAGUAUUGUGUGCAAGAUGAUUGAUAAAAUGGUUCAAUAAGGUUUUGUAGAAGCCAACUGCAAUUGAAGACUAGGUUAUUGCACUAUUGAGCUGUGAUGAUGAGAUUGUGAAUGUUUUGGAUGUUUAAUCAAUGAAUGUAUGUUUUGGA